rnacentral:lncRNA from 1 species
ACCCGGUUGCCCACAGGAUAUCACCGCCCCCAUCCCAGGGCCCACCAGAACCAACAGGGAGAGAGAGGCAGGAAAUGCCGUCUAACGGGAUCUCUGGAUGGAGAAUUCCACAGCUGAUUGGAACCUAAACGAGAGAACCAAAUGGACAUCCCAGGGCUGCAGAAGCCACCCCAUCUAUGACUAAGACACCCUCCCACCUUCAUGCUACUGAGUGGACAAGCUUACAUGAAAUGACUGUUUUCACAUAUGUGGCACCAGGCAGCCCAGGGAUGCCGGUGAAAUCUCUGGGAGAACGGCAUGUUCCAGAGAGCCACAGCUUGCUCAGCCUGGACCCCAGAACGAAGGAGGCAUCAGAAGCUGAGCCACCCGUGGCCGACAAGAAACCUGAGUGGGAGGGGAAACUUGGUUGCUGUGAUCGACCCAGGCUUGCGAGUUGUUUUGGCAACACAGCCUAGCAAGAGCCGACCAAUAUGUCAUUGAUGAAAGAAAGUCAACAGGCGUGUAGAAGGAGCUGUCUACUGAGCAUGUCUGCACUUUUCUGAAUUAUGUUGCACUUGAGUAAAAAGUAAGCAAGCCUGUCUAUUUACUUUAAAUGAUGUGUGCCAGAUAUGUACAGUAUGCAGAGUUAAGAAGGUGCCACCCCAAAAUAGGCUGCUCUGGCAUAGUCACUAUUAGGAAUUAAAGGCAGUUAAAACAAU